GACGAACGCUGGCGGCGUGCCUAAUACAUGCCAGUAGAACGCUGAAGGAGGAGCUUGCUCUUCUGGAUGAGUUGCGAACGGGUGAGUAACGCGUAGGUAACCUGCCUGGUAGCGGGGGAUAACUAUUGGAAACGAUAGCUAAUACCGCAUAACAGUAGAUGUUGCAUGACAUUUACUUAAAAGGUGCAAUUGCAUCACUACCAGAUGGACCUGCGUUGUAUUAGCUAGUUGGUGGGGUAACGGCUCACCAAGGCGACGAUACAUAGCCGACCUGAGAGGGGGAACGGCCACACUGGGACUGAGACACGGCCCAGACUCCUACGGGAGGCGGCAGUAGGGAAUCUUCGGCAAUGGACGGAAGUCUGACCGGGCAACGCCGCGUGAGUGAAGAAGGUUUUCGGGUCGUAAAGCUCUGUUGUAAGAGAAGAACGAGUGUGAGAGUGGAAAGUUCACACUGUGACGGUAUCUUACCAGAAAGGGACGGCUAACUACGUG
rnacentral:rRNA from 1 species